GGAGGUAACUCUAUUUUACCACCAAUUCAAGAUGGCUACCAAACGUUUGUUGUUGGCUGGUGGAACUACCGCGACAAUAAUGGCAUCAAUACCAGCCCUGAAACUUCAUGCUGCAGAAACUUCAUCAGAAUCUAAACAAAUCAAGAUUACCGAGCUUCCAAUUUAUUCAAGCCCAGUUAAUGAAACCAAAUUUGAAUAUAUAGAAGAAGAAAUUGGUAGUUUUAGAUCAGCUAUUUCAGACGUAAGGAAAUCAGUAUGGAGUUAUCUAGACUCAGUAAAGGACACUACUGACAGUUUAAAACAGAAAUAUGAAACUGGAAAAGCACAUACUACAGAAUUAGUAACCUAUAUACAAGAUGAUCCUGCUAUAUUACCUAGAGCUGCUGUUAUAACUGUAGCUGGUCUAGGGGGUAUUGUGGCUGGUUAUAAAGGUGGUAUACUACGUAAAGUUGUAUUAAGUAGUUCAGCUAUGGCAGCUGCUGCAGCUUUAUGUUAUCCCAAAGAGGCUGUAGCUUUAACAAAUGAUAUCUAUAACGUAACUUAUGAUGCCGUUAAACCAUUAUGGGAAGAUUCUAGUGCAACAGUGGAAGAAAAGGUAAAACAAACAAAGGAAGUUUUAAAUGAGAAAAAGAAUGAAGUGAAAGAGAAGAUAGCAUCUAAACCUGUUGAUAAAUCGUUAAUGGAUAUGGGUCAGUCAAAGGAAGAAGAUAAAGAUAUGUACACAACUCGUGGUAGUUGAUGAGAGGAUGUUAGAUGAUAUCGAGACAUCAUAUUAUACAAAUAUCUGAUAAAAAUAGUCAACUAUAAACGGACCACAGGCACUUAAAGGGAUUAAAAUAAAGAUGGCUUCACUCAUAAUUUUUUUGCUAACUUUGUUUAGACAUGUAGUUCUAUUAGGUCACCAAGUCUGUGACUAUAGCUAAUAAGAGAUAGCGAAGUAAAGUGACUGGGUAAUCAAAUAUAAUUACUAGUCUAACAAAGCUAGUAAAAAAGAUGGCUGGUGAUGGAUAUACCUGCUAGAUAGUAGAGUAUAAUACUAAGCAAUCUUUGUUUUCAUCUCAUCAAGGUACCUGUGAAGUGGACAUUUAUAACCGUAAUAAUGAUAGAAACUAUAUUGUGUGAUAAAUUAUCAAUAUUCAAUAACAAAAAUAGGUUAGAAUA